ACUCAAAUGAAUUGACGGAAGUCUAUACAAGCGGUGGAGCAUGUGGUUUAAUUCGAUACAAACCGAAAAAUCUUACCAGUUCUUGAAAGCUUGAGGGAAAAGAUGAAGAGAUUUCAUUAUUUGAGCAAAGCCAACCUGUGAGGCAAUGUGAAAACUUCAGAGUAGGUGCUGCAUGGCUGUCGUAAGCUCGUGUUGUGAAAUGUCAGCUUAAAUGCGUUUGUAAACGGGCGCAACCCUUGUUUCUUGAUAUAGAAGAAAGAAAAUCAACAUAGGAAUGAAAGAUUGGGGGAAGGUAAGGAAGACGUCAAGUCAGUAUGGCCUUUAUGGACUGGGCAACACACGUUCUACAAUGAGUAUUACAAAGAAGAGCAAUGGUGUGAGCCGGAGCAACAUUCUAAAAGGUAUUCGGAGUGCGGAUUGUUCUCUGCAACUUGAGAACAUGAAGGUGGAAUCGCUAGUAAUCGCAAAUCAGCAUGUUGCGGUGAAUAUGUAUAUGGGCUUAGUACACACCGCCCGU
rnacentral:rRNA from 1 species